rnacentral:rRNA from 1 species
CACGGGGGGAACGAGCGUUGUUCGGAUUUACUGGGCGUAAAGGGUGCGUAGGCGGGUUGGCAAGUCGGGUGUGAAAUUCCAUAGCUUAACUAUGGACCUGCAUUCGAUACUAUAGGACUUGAGUAUCGGAGAGGUGAGCGGAAUUCCUGGUGUAGCGGUGAAAUGCGUAGAUAUCAGGAGGAACACCGAUGGCGAAGGCAGCUCACUGGCCGAAUACUGACGUUCAGGGACGAAGGCAUGGGGAGCAAACAGGAUUAGAUACCCCGGUAGU